CCUACGGGUGGCAGCAGUGGGGAAUAUUGGGCAAUGGGCGCAAGCCUGACCCAGCAACGCCGCGUGAAGGAAGAAGGCUCUCGGGUUGUAAACUUCUUUUCUUAGGGACGAAGCAUGUGACGGUACCUGAGGAAUAAGCCACGGCUAACUACGUGCCAGCAGCAGCGGGAAUACGUAGGUGGCAAGCGUUAUCCGGAUUUACUGGGUGUAAAGGGCGUGUAGGAGGGAAAGCAAGUCAGAUGUGAAAACCAUGGGCUCAACCUGUGGCCUGCAUUUGAGACUGUUUUUCUUGAGUACUGGAGAGGCAGACGGAAUUCCUGGUGUAGCGGUGAAAUGCGUAGAUAUCAGGAGGAACACCAGUGGCGAAGGCGGGCUGCUGGACAGCAACUGACGCUGAGGCGCGAAAGCGUGGGGAGCAAACAGGAUUAGAUACCCCUGUAGUC
rnacentral:rRNA from 1 species